rnacentral:rRNA from 1 species
CCGCCAAUGGCUCAUUAAAUCAGUUAUGGUUUAUUAGAUGGUGCUAUCCUACUCGGAUAACUGUGGUAAUUCUAGAGCUAAUACGUGAUACAAAGCUCCGACCCUCGUUUGGAAAGAGCGCCUUUAUUAGAUCAAGAUCAACCGGUUUGGCGCGACGUGGCGUUUUCGCCGUCAAAAGCGGAGCGCGCUCGCGCCGUGCCGCCAUAAAGCGUGAUGAUUCUGAAUAACGUGUUUUCUCGCCGAUCGUAUGGCCCCGCGCCGACGACGCAUCUUUCAAAUGUCUGCCCUAUCAACUUUCGUUGGUAGAUGUUAUGCUUACCAAGGUACUUACGGGUAACGGGGGAUCAGGGUUCGAUCCCGGAGAGGGAGCAUGAGAAACGGCUACCACAUCCAAGGAAGGCAGCAGGCGCGCAAAUUACCCACUCUUAGCACGAGGAGGUAGUGACGAAAAAUAACAAUACGGGACUCUUUCGAGGCCCCGUAAUUGGAAUGAGUACACUCUAAACCCGUUAACGAGGAUCGAUUGGAGGGCAAGUCUGGUGCCAGCAGCCGCGGUAAUUCCAGCUCCAAUAGCGUAUAUUAAAGCUGUUGCAGUUAAAAAGCUCGUAGUCGGACGUCGGGCGGCGGCCAACGGUUCGGUUCCGUGCCGAUUACUGCUGGUCGCGGCCUCCACGCCGGCCGUCUCGUUUGGGUGCUCUUAACUGCAGUGCCUCGAGUAGCCGGAGCGUUUACUUUGAAAAAAUUAGAGUGUUCAAGGCAGGCCACGAGCCUGAAUGAUGGUGCAUGGAAUAAUGGAAUAGGACCUCGGUUCUAUUUUGUUGGUCUUCGGAACUGGAGGUAAUGAUUAAUAGGGACCGACGGGGGCAUUCGUAUUGCGGCGUUAGAGGUGAAAUUCUUGGAUCGUCGCACGACGGACUACUGCGAAAGCAUUUGCCAAGCAUGUUUUCAUUGAUCAAGAGCGAAAGUCAGAGGAUCGAAGACGAUCAGAUACCGUCCUAGUUCUGACCAUAAACGAUGCCGACUAGCGAUCCGGCUCCGUUGCUUCAUAAGACUGGCCGGGCAGCUCCCGGGAAACCAAAGUUUCUGGGUUCCGGGGGAAGUAUGGUUGCAAAGCUGAAACUUAAAGGAAUUGACGGAAGGGCACCACCAGGAGUGGAGCCUGCGGCUUAAUUUGACUCAACACGGGAAAACUCACCCGGCCCGGACACCGUAAGGAUUGACAGAUUGAAAGCUCUUUCUUGAUUCGGUGGGUGGUGGUGCAUGGCCGUUCUUAGUUGGUGGAGCGAUUUGUCUGGUUAAUUCCG